rnacentral:rRNA from 1 species
AGCGGUGGAUGAUGUGGAUUAAUUCGAUGCAACGCGAAAAACCUUACCUACCCUUGACAUGUACGGAAUCCUGCUGAGAGGUGGGAGUGCUCNAAAGAGAACCGUAACACAGGUGCUGCAUGGCUGUCGUCAGCUCGUGUCGUGAGAUGUUGGGUUAAGUCCCGCAACGAGCGCAACCCUUGUCCUUAGUUGCUACGCAAGAGCACUCUAGGGAGACUGCCGGUGACAAACCGGAGGAAGGUGGGGAUGACGUCAAGUCCUCAUGGCCCUUAUGGGUAGGGCUUCACACGUCAUACAAUGGUCGGUACAGAGGGCUGCCAAACCGCGAGGUGGAGCUAACCCCAGAAAACCGAUCGUAGUCCGGAUCGCAGUCUGCAACUCGACUGCGUGAACCUGGAAUCGCUAGUAAUCGCGGAUCAGCAUGUCGCGGUGAAUACGUCCCGGGUCUUGU